rnacentral:rRNA from 1 species
ACUCCUACGGGAGGCAGCAGCUAAGAAUAUUCCGCAAUGGACGAAAGUCUGACGGAGCGACGCCGCGUGGAUGAAGAAGGCUGAAAAGUUGUAAAAUCCUUUUGUUGAUGAAGAAUAAGGAUAAGAGGGAAUGCUUAUCUGAUGACGGUAAUCAGCGAAUAAGCCCCGGCUAAUUACGUGCCAGCAGCCGCGGUAACACGUAAGGGGCGAGCGUUGUUCGGAAUUAUUGGGCGUAAAGGGCAUGUAGGCGGUUAUGUAAGCCUGAUGUGAAAUCCUAGAGCUUAACUCUAGAAUAGCAUUGGGUACUGUAUAACUUGAAUUACGGAAGGGAAACUGGAAUUCCAAGUGUAGGGGUGGAAUCUGUAGAUAUUUGGAAGAACACCGGUGGCGAAGGCGGGUUUCUGGCCGAUAAUUGACGCUGAGAUGCGAAAGUGUGGGGAUCGAACAGGAUUAGAUACCCUUGUAGUCC